rnacentral:lncRNA from 1 species
CCAUCCUGAACCAGCACAGUUGGCCCACGAGCUCUGACCUUGCCCUUCUGCCUGAGAGCCCCACCCCAGGCCCCCUUCUUCAGCCUGAGAGAGCAAGCUGCUCCCAGGUGCCAGCCCCAAAGAGGGAGGUGGGGCCAGGUGCUGGGGGACCGGGCCAUCCGGAGCCAGCACAGAGGGCAGAGUGCUCCACAGUGUGUGUGUGAGCCUCAGGCUGCAGGGGACACAUCUGCCCACCUGGGUCCUGCCGGCACAGGUGCUUGUGGACAGAGGGAGGCCACAGAGAAGGGGCAGAGCAAAGGGUCUCUGGAAGCCUCUGGGAUGACAGGACCCGUCCUGUCCUGUGCGACCUGGUUCGUACCGGGAAGGGUAGGCCCCAGGCUGGGCCAGCAGGCACCACACCACAGCCUGGCCUCUGCCCUGCCGGAGGAGCCUCCUGCCUGGACCCUGCGCUUCUCCCCAUCCCGCCCAGGGCCGUCCCCAGCCACCACCAAGCCCAAGCUGGCCAAGCACUCAGUUACCGGCCACACCGGGCACU